rnacentral:rRNA from 1 species
CACGUAGGGCGCGAGCGUUGUCCGGAAUUAUUGGGCGUAAAGAGCUCGUAGGCGGCCUGUUGCGUCCGCUGUGAAAGCCCCGGGGCUUAACCCCGGGGUCUGCAGUGGAUACGGGCAGGCUAGAGGUAGGUAGGGGAGAAUGGAAUUCCCGGUGUAGCGGUGAAAUGCGCAGAUAUCGGGAGGAACACCGGUGGCGAAGGCGGUUCUCUGGGCCUUACCUGACGCUGAGGAGCGAAAGCGUGGGGAGCGAACAGG